GACGAACGCUGGCGGCGUGCCUAAUACAUGCAAGUCGAGCGCAGGAAGCUGACGGAACUCUUCGGAGAGAAGGCAGUGGAAUGAGCGGCGGACGGGUGAGUAACACGUAAGGAACCUGCUUCAAGGAUUGGGAUAACUCCGAGAAAUCGGAGCUAAUACCGGAUAGUUCAACGGACCGCAUGGUCCGCUGAUGAAAGGCGCUUCGGCGUCACCUUGAGAUGGCCUUGCGGUGCAUUAGCUAGUUGGUGGGGUAACGGCCCACCAAGGCGACGAGGCAUAGCCGACCUGAGGGGGUGAUGGGCCACACUGGGACUGAGACACGGCCCAGACUCCUACGGGAGGCAGCAGUAGGGAAUCUUCCACAAUGGACGAAAGUCUGAUGGAGCAACGCCGCGUGAGUGAUGAAGGUUUUCGGAUCGUAAAACUCUGUUGUAAGGGAAGAACACGUACGAGAGGGAAUGCUCGUACCUUGACGGUACCUUACGAGAAAGCCACGGCUAACUACGUGCCAGCAGCCGCCGUAA
rnacentral:rRNA from 1 species